rnacentral:rRNA from 1 species
UGGGGAAUCUUCCGCAAUGGACGAAAGUCUGACGGAGCAACGCCGCGUGAGUGAAGAAGGUUUUCGGAUCGUAAAACUCAUGUCUUUUGGGGCGAACGUGAGUAUGGUGAACAAUCAUAGUCAGUGACGGUACCAAAGGAGGAAGCCACGGCUAACUACGUGCCAGCAGCCGCGGUAAUACGUAGGUGGCAAGCGUUGUCCGGAAUUAUUGGGCGUAAAGAGCGCGUAGGCGGGAUAGUCAGUCUGUUGUAAAGUGCGGGGCUCAACCCGUAUGGCAAUGGAAACAGCUAUUCUUGAGUGCAGGAGAGGAAAGGUGGAAUUCCCAGUGUAGCGGUGAAAUGCGUAGAUAUUGGGAGGAACACCAGUGGCGAAGGCGACUUUCUGGACUGUGUCUGACGCUGAGGCGCGAAAGCCAGGGGGAGCGAACGGGGAUUUAGAUACCCCCGGUAGUCCUGGCCGUAAACGAUGGGUACUA